CCUACGGGUGGCAGCAGUGAGGAAUAUUGGUCAAUGGGCGUAAGCCUGAACCAGCCAAGUCGCGUGAGGGAUGAAGGUUCUAUGGAUCGUAAACCUCUUUUAUAAGGGAAUAAAGUGCGGGACGUGUCCCGUUUUGUAUGUACCUUAUGAAUAAGGAUCGGCUAACUCCGUGCCAGCAGCCGCGUUAAUACGGAGGAUCCGAGCGUUAUCCGGAUUUAUUGGGUUUAAAGGGUGCGUAGGCGGCCUUUUAAGUCGGCGGUGAAAGUCUGGGGCUCAACCAUAGAAUUGCCGUUGAAACUGGGAGACUAGAGUAUGUUAGAGGGAGGCGGAAUGCUUGGUGUAGCAGUGAAAUGCUUAGAUAUCGCGAGGAACAC
rnacentral:rRNA from 1 species